GAUGAACGCUGGCGGCGUGCUUAACACAUGCAAGUCGAACGGGAAUUAUUUUAUUGCACCUUCGGUCGAUUUACUUUAAUUCUAGUGGCGGCCGGGUGAGUAACUCGUGGGUAACCUGCCUUAUACAGGGGGAUAACAGUCAGAAAUGGCUGCUAAUACCGCAUCAGCGCACAGAGCUGCAUGGCUCAGUGUGAAAAACUCCGGUGGUAUAAGAUGGACCCGCGUUGGAUUAGCUGGUUGGUGGGGUAACGGCCCACCAAGGCGACGAUCCAUAGCCGGCCUGAGAGGGUGAACGGCCACAUUGGGACUGAGACACGGCCCAGACUCCUACGGGAGGCAGCAGUGGGGAAUAUUGCACAAUGGGGGAAACCCUGAUGCAGCGACGCCGCGUGAAGGAAGAAGUAUCUCGGUAUGUAAACUUCUAUCAGCAGGGAAGAUAGUGACGGUACCUGACUAAGAAGCCCCGGCUAACUACGUG
rnacentral:rRNA from 1 species